rnacentral:rRNA from 1 species
CCUACGGGAGGCAGCAGUCGGGAAUAUUGCGCAAUGGAGGAAACUCUGACGCAGUGAUGCCGCGUAUAGGAUGAAGGUUUUCGGAUUGUAAACUAUUGUCGUUAGGGAAGAUAAAAGACAGUACCUAAGGAGGAAGCUCCGGCUAACUACGUGCCAGCAGCCGCGGUAAU